GAAGUUAUAACGAGGAAGUUACUAUCAAAAUAAUCCAAUGGGCAAAACUGUUUUCUCUCUCUCUCUCUCCCAACGAACCAGCCCACCAUCUCCUUCGGUUUCUCCAGCUAAUCCCUUCAACCUCCAUAACUGCCGCCACAGCCUAUGGCCAGCCUCGAGACCGGACCCAAAACGUCCGGCUAGACCUCGCCGUCACCCCCCAUCCCUUCGGCCCCCUCGUCAGCUG
rnacentral:lncRNA from 1 species